CUGGGCUUGACAUCCCGAUCGCACUUUAUGGAAACAUAGAGGUCAGUUCGGCUGGAUCGGAGACAGGUGCUGCAUGGCUGUCGUCAGCUCGUGUCGUGAGAUGUUGGGUUAAGUCCCGCAACGAGCGCAACCCUUGUCCUUAGUUGCCAUCAUUUGGUUGGGCACUCUAAGGAGACUGCCGGUGUUAAACCGGAGGAAGGUGGGGAUGGCGUCAAGUCCUCAUGGCCCUUAUGUCCAGGGCUACACACGUGCUACAAUGGCCGGUACAAAGGGAAGCAAGACCGCGAGGUGGAGCCAAUCCCAAAAAGCCGGUCUCAGUUCGGAUUGGAGUCUGCAACUCGACUCCAUGAAGUUGGAAUCGCUAGUAAUCGUGGAUCAGCAUGCCACGGUGAAUACGUUCC
rnacentral:rRNA from 1 species